rnacentral:rRNA from 1 species
GAACGGGUGAGUAACACGUGGGCAAUCUGCCCUUCACUCUGGGACAAGCCCUGGAAACGGGGUCUAAUACCGGAUAAUACUUUCCUCCGCAUGGGGGAGGGUUGAAAGCUCCGGCGGUGAAGGAUGAGCCCGCGGCCUAUCAGCUUGUUGGUGGGGUGAUGGCCUACCAAGGCGACGACGGGUAGCCGGCCUGAGAGGGCGACCGGCCACACUGGGACUGAGACACGGCCCAGACUCCUACGGGAGGCAGCAGUGGGGAAUAUUGCACAAUGGGCGAAAGCCUGAUGCAGCGACGCCGCGUGGGGGAUGACGGCCUUCGGGUUGUAAACCUCUUUCAGCAGGGAAGAAGCGCAAGUGACGGUACCUGCAGAAGAAGCGCCGGCUAACUACGUGCCAGCAGCCGCGGUAAUACGUAGGGCGCAAGCGUUGUCCGGAAUUAUUGGGCGUAAAGAGCUCGUAGGCGGCUUGUCGCGUCGGAUGUGAAAGCCCGGGGCUUAACCCCGGGUCUGCAUUCGAUACGGGCAGGCUAGAGUGUGGUAGGGGAGAUCGGAAUUCCUGGUGUAGCGGUGAAAUGCGCAGAUAUCAGGAGGAACACCGGUGGCGAAGGCGGAUCUCUGGGCCAUUACUGACGCUGAGGAGCG